UGAGAGGCUGGUGCGGGCAGGUGCCUCGCCAACCCGGUCAGAUCCGGAAGGAAGCAGCCGUAACGAGACCCACUUGGGUCGUUAUCAGCCUCUCACCC
rnacentral:SRP_RNA from 1 species